GUCACCAAGGUGACUGCAUGAACGGUGAGACUUUACAGAUCACCACAGUUCAUGUGAAUGUAAUGCUGGCACAACCUAGAGCUGAGAAAGGGGAAGAACUGAGGACUGUAGGAUGCUUAUAAAAGGGAACAAAAUGCAUGCUUCCCACCUGGACAGUUACUAGAAGAUCUACCACUACACUUCACCUGAAGCAUCAUGCAUCAGGCUUACCAUCUGGAAGGUAUGAUAACACCUCCUCCUCAAGAAGAAGAUGACUACUGGGCAGACGGAAAACACAGUAAUAUGGCACAGCCCAAAGGCUAUAAAGAAACACCAUCCAACCUGGCCUCGAGUGUCUUCAGGGAUGGGGCACCACAGCUUCUCUGGGCAGCUGUGCCAGCACCUCACCGUCCUCUGAGGAAAGAACUUCCCCCAUCAUCUCACCCCCAUCAUUCAGGUGGCACCUGAAUAAAACCCUGACCAAACCAACACCCUAGAACACCAGCGACACAUCGCAGGCUCCACCUUGGGUGGCGGCCAUCAACCCAGCCCCGGCUGCCAAAGCGCUGGGCAGCCCCCCUCGCUCCC